rnacentral:rRNA from 1 species
AGAGUUUGAUCAUGGCUCAGGAUGAACGCUAGCUACAGGCUUAACACAUGCAAGUCGAGGGGAAACGACAUCGAAAGCUUGCUUUUGAUGGGCGUCGACCGGCGCACGGGUGAGUAACGCGUAUCCAACCUGCCCACCACUUGGGGAUAACCUUGCGAAAGUAAGACUAAUACCCAAUGAUAUCUCUAGAAGACAUCUGAAAGAGAUUAAAGAUUUAUCGGUGAUGGAUGGGGAUGCGUCUGAUUAGCUUGUUGGCGGGGUAACGCCACAAGGCUACGAUCAGUAGGGUCUGAGAGGAACGGUCCCCANAUUGGAACUGAGACACGGUCCAAACUCCGUACGGGAGCA